UCUCUGUCGUUCCAUCUCUCUCUCUGUCGUUCCCUAUCCCUCUUCGACAUCGACCCAACAUCACGACCCACUCCGGCCAUCCACCCACGUCCCCGACCCACUCCGGCCAUCCACCCACGACCCCGACCCAACCACGAACCACCACGGACCACCACCACGACCCAGUGACCACCACGAACCACCACGAACCAUCACGGACCACAAAACGUCGCCACCACCACCACCCGUGAUCGUCGACACCGAACAGAGGCCUUCGCCACCACGAGCAGUACCCGUCGCCACCACCACCCGUGAUCAUUAAAAGAUGGCUCCCAGACUCAUUAUUCCAGCACCCGAGCAUUUCACUGGCCGCGUCACAUAUAGGGGCACUGGAAUUUUUGCAAAAAUUAAAGCUCGGUUUGAGGAGUUCAACCUUAAUAACACGGCGAAGGAAAGCCGUUUCGGGAGCUUCUGGAAUGCCGUACCACUGACAUUCUCCUCGGUGUUAU